rnacentral:rRNA from 1 species
CUACCUGCAAGUCGAGGGGUAGGGUUACUUCGGUAAUCUGAGACCGGCGCACGGGUGCGUAACGCGUAUGCAAUCUACCUUUUACUAUGGGAUAGCCCAGAGAAAUUUGGAUUAAUACCAUAUAGUAUAUUUGAAUGGCAUCGUUUGAAUAUUAAAGAUUUAUCGGUAAAAGAUGAGCAUGCGUCCCAUUAGUUAGUUGGUGUGGCAACGGCAUACCAAGACGAUGAUGGGUAGGGGUCCUGAGAGGGAGAUCCCCCACACUGGUACUGAGACACGGACCAGACUCCUACGGGAGGCAGCAGUGAGGAAUAUUGGUCAAUGGAGGCAACUCUGAACCAGCCAUGCCGCGUGCAGGAUGACGGUCCUAUGGAUUGUAAACUGCUUUUGUACGGGAAGAAAACAAACUACGAGUAGUUAAUUGACGGUACCGUAAGAAUAAGGAUCGGCUAACUCCGUGCCAGCAGCCGCGGUAAUACGGAGGAUCCAAGCGUUAUCCGGAAUCAUUGGGNUUUAAAGGGUCCGUAGGCGGCCUUAUAAGUCAGUGGUGAAAGUUUUUUGGCUUANCCAA